CUCUCUGUGGUGUAGUUGGCUAUCACGUCGGGCUGUAAUAGGAUAUUGUUACCUGAAGGUCACCGGUUCAAUUCCGGUCGGAGAGA